GUGAUGAUUCAAUCGGAUUGAAUGACAUGUUUGCCAAUCCGGACGGUUAUAUCAUCAUUAAGAAGAGCAGCGGACCCGUCGGCGGAACAGUUUUACGUGACAUAUUAGGCAAACGUAAACGAAAUGUUGGCGGAAUUGUAUUGAAAGACUUGUUGGGAAAGAAGAAACGGGUGUCAGUUGUCGGCGGAACUGUUUUGAAAGAUUUAUUGGGAUAAGAG